rnacentral:sRNA from 1 species
ACGUGGGUUCAUGCCCAUGUAUGGCGUUGAUGGUCGUAGAUUCCAAGCCGCAGACGAUCGAAGUCUAGAUUUGCAUUUGAUUGAUUUGAUAUGAUGUUGGUCUAGAUUUAGAUUUAGGCCGGCUCUACAGCAGCGAAGACCUACGAGACAAACAGAGUGACAAAAGGAGUGCCCGAAGGAAGGCCAGCCAACCAUGACGAGCUACAAGCGUGUCAUUCAGCAGAACGACAAAGUGAUCAAUUCGCUGGUCGAAUUUUCCGGUCUAGAACGGUGGCU